ACUUAACCAGAUUUAUAAUCACUUUGUGGAUACACUUCUAGCUCUAGCUGUUAAGAUCGUCCAAGGAUAUUUAAAUGAAGAAGGAAGAUAUACCCUGAAUGGAGAUCGAACUGUUUCCUGGACUGGAAGAAAGAAGAAAUGGGAAGAGAUUAAGCAGCUGCAUAGCAGGGUUCUCUGCUCUGGCUCAGGAUGCCAUGUGAUCAGCUGCCUUAUGUGCCUGCUGCUGUCUCUCCACAAUAAUGGUCUGUGUUUUUCUGAACUAUCAUCCAAAAUAUACCCUUCCUCUGCUGAGUUGCUUUUUUCAUGAAUUUCAAAACUGUGAUGAGAAAUGUGGCUAAUAUAAUAUCUACAUUAGCUAACUGGUUAUGCUAAAUAUGUUACUGCAAUAUGUGAUAUAAAUAAUAUGACUAUGACUGUACCAUCUCCAUUUUCUUAUGAUUAUCAAGUCAUUUUUUUAAAAAAACCUUUUGAAUAAUACACUUAAGUGUGAAAUACGCUGUUAUGUACAUUUGACCACCAUAAAAAAUACAUCAUUGAGUGUUAAUCAUAGAUGAGGUCAUCGGUGGGGUUGAGUGAGGGCAGAAUGGAAAAUCUCUAUGCCAUUCUCU
rnacentral:lncRNA from 1 species